ACUACCUUCGUUCUCAUUCAGUUCAAUCACUCACUCUUCUGUUCUGAUCUAGGGUUUUACAGCUUUCACUUACUCCAUAAGAAGCAAGGGUGUCUUUCAAAAUGACAUACAUUUGCAUUGAAGGUUGGCCAUAUGUAUAGCGAUUCUCCGUGCCUUUCAAGCUUUCUUCUCGUAUUGAUUACGGCCUCGAACAAAUUGCUACAUCCACCAAUUAUUAUGGUACAUUUAUCUAUAAAUUUGGUUAUAUAAAUGACUUGAUCUUGACAAUGAGUUUGUAUUAUCUAAUUUUAGUUUAAGUUUCUUAAUUAUGCAUAAACUAUUAAAUUUGUGAUCUUAGUAGUUACUCUCUGUAGUAAAUUUGUUUAUUAUCAUUGGCCGAUGAUUAAAUUUCUAAUAUAGACAAGCAUAUGACUGAAUUUUCAUUAUGUUGAAUACCUAAUCUUCUCUAUGAGGCCAAUCAUAUUUUUUCCAUAUUGUUAUGCUUCCUGUGUUCAAUAGUUUUAUAAAAAUAGUUUUUUUUUGUGUUGUCAUUGUUUAUAAACGGGUCAUAUGAUGAUUAAAAGCAUAGUUCAAAUGAAUUCUUUGUGAUUAUAAAACAAUCUUUAUAGUCUUUCGCUCCUAUCUGAUGACUCCUUUUUUAUUUGUGUUAAAGGUAUGAUUUGUUUUUGAAAAUUUUGAAAGGGUUAAUGGACUAUGACGACUUAUAUCUAUUGGUCUCGUUCGUCGUAAUGGUGUUUAAACCACCUUGCCGACCAUUCUGAUAUAUCACCACCCAUAAACUGAGUCCUAUUACUAAACUUUGCUAUUAAUUCUUUUAUUUUCCUGUUCAUUUUGAGAUGUAAUGGUUAUUUUUUACUUUUAUGGUGCUUUGAUGAAAAAAUCUUGUGUCGGAGACUCUGGUCUGUGAUGGCUUACACAACCCUCUAAGAAGUUCUGAGCACUAUUUUUUUUUUAUUUCCAAACACGGAGUAUUGUUUUUCUCGCAAGUAUUCAAUUUUUUAAGAUUAUUUGUUAUGUUAAUGUCUUGUGAGGAGUAACGAAGUGAUGAUAGAAUUCAUAAGUCUGUCAAUCCACUGAAAUACAUUUUAUGAUGUAAAGUGUGAAUCCCGACAGGUUCUGAUCGUUAAGUGAAUAAUCCUCCAUUUACUUUUCCUUUUUGCGCUUACUCAUUUUUGAACUUUAGUUUUAUGGGCAACUGAUGAAUCUUAUAUAUCGUAAAUGGGUAAUUUGCGUCUGAAUCUUUUCAUUGAUGCUAUCAACCUUGGAGAACUGAUGCCCUUGAAAAAUUUUAUUUUGUAUUUGAAUGAUUUUGAUGUGGGCUAGUAACUUUUGGAUGAUUGGUCUGAUAAGAGUAUAGGAGUGGGAAAUUAGGGUGAUCAGUGAUGGAGUGUAGGCCUCCCGUGAUGUGCCCUUGUUUCCUAGAGAAUGGCAAGUAACUAAUGUGGGAUCGUGUAACCGACAUUGCAAUCGAUGAUGACAACCCUUCCAAUACGAUUCAACAUCGGUUACUUUUCUACCAACUAAGUUAUGCAGCUGUCUUGGAGAUUGUAAGUUAACAGGCAGUUUUUUUCUGGGAUUUGAUACAUUUGGUCCACCCAUGUUGAACCAAAGAGGAAAUGAUGUGUAUUUAUUGUCAUCUGACUUGCAUUCCAUAUGUGGAUGUUAAAGUGGUGAAUGAUUCAUUAUAACUGAUCCUCUCAGUGUAAGUUGAAAAUAUCGUUUUGAUUAUGUUAAAUAUGUUCAGAAGAUUGCUUAUGAAAAGUAUUGUCUUUUAUUUAUUUGUGAUCAUUGGCUUGUUGUGUAGUUUCCUAAUUCACCAAAGAAGAUGCAGCUGAUAGAUGUAAAUUUAGAGUU